GACGAACGCUGGCGGCGUGCUUAACACAUGCAAGUCGAACGGAAAGGCCCUGCUUUUGUGGGGUGCUCGAGUGGCGAACGGGUGAGUAACACGUGAGUAACCUGCCCUUGACUUUGGGAUAACUUCAGGAAACUGGGGCUAAUACCGGAUAGGAGCUCCUGCUGCAUGGUGGGGGUUGGAAAGUUUCGGCGGUUGGGGAUGGACUCGCGGCUUAUCAGCUUGUUGGUGGGGUAGUGGCUUACCAAGGCUUUGACGGGUAGCCGGCCUGAGAGGGUGACCGGCCACAUUGGGACUGAGAGACGGCCCAGACUCCUACGGGAGGCAGCAGUGGGGAAUAUUGCACAAUGGGCGGGAGCCUGAUGCAGCAACGCCGCGUGCGGGAUGACGGCCUUCGGGUUGUAAACCGCUGUCGCCUGUGACGAAGCGUGAGUGACGGUAAUGGGUAAAGAAGCACCGGCUAACUACGUG
rnacentral:rRNA from 1 species